UACAGAGGUCCCGAGCGUUGUUCGGAUUCACUGGGCGUAAAGGGUGCGUAGGUGGUGGAGUAAGUUUGAUGUGAAAUCUCCGGGCUUAACCCGGAAACUGCAUUGAAUACUAUUCCGCUGGAGGUUUGGAGGGGGGACUGGAAUUCUCGGUGUAGCAGUGAAAUGCGUAGAUAUCGAGAGGAACACCAGUGGCGAAGGCGGCAUUCUGGGCCAAAACUGACGCUGAGGAGCGAAAGCCAGGGGAGCAAACGGG
rnacentral:rRNA from 1 species